AACGAACGCUGGCGGCAGGCUUAACACAUGCAAGUCGAGCGCCCCGCCCGGGGAGCGGCAGACGGGUGAGUAACGCGUGGGAACGUACCCUUAUCUUCGGGCUAGCUCCGGGAAACUGGAAUUAAUACCGAAUGUGCCCUUUGGGGGAAAGAUUGAUCGGAUAAGAAUCGGCCCGUGUUGGAUUAGCUUGUUGGUGGGGUAAAGGCCUACCAAGGCGACGAUUCAUAGCUGGUCUGAGAGGCUGACCAGCCACAUUGGGGCUGGGACACGGGCCAAACUGCGACGGGAGGGAGCAGUAGGGAAUAUUGGACGGUGGGCGCAAGCCUGAUCCAGCCAUGCCGGGUGAGUGAUGAAGGGCUUUGGGUUGUAAAGCUCUUUCACCGGAGAAGAUAAUGACGGUAUCCGGAGAAGAAGCACCGGCUAACUUCGUG
rnacentral:rRNA from 1 species